UCCCUGGUAGCUCAGACGGUAAAGCGUCGGCCUACAAUGCUGGAGGUCUGGGUUCGAUCCCUGGGUCGGGAA
rnacentral:tRNA from 1 species